UUUUAGUCGACUCUGCUGCUGCCUAGUAAAUUCCUUGUCAUCAUACCCCAGAGUAGAUACUUGUAUUUAUUACUAUGUUUUAGAAAUACAACUUUUGAAAGAAAUAAAGAUUUUCCAAUAAAACUUUGAAGAUGAAGAAUAUUUGCAGCAAGUGUUAUGUAUGGUUUUGAUAACUCAUUUGCUGUCAUUUCAGCAUUGGAAGGUUUGCAGUUAGGAUUUCUUUGCUCUUCUCUUCAUUUAUUUAUUCUAAAAUUUGAUUUCCAUUUGCUGGAUUUGUUUCCAUAGUUUGUCGGCAGCUCUUUAUGUUGAGUUAUAGGAUGUGCUACAAACUGUUGGCUUGGUGUUUGGUGUCGGGUUAAAUAUGCUGGCUUCUACAUUUGCAGUGCCCAGGGAGCUGAAUCUAUUUGUUUAGGAUAUACCAGUGAUUAUGCAUCCAGUUAAUAGGCACUUUGGUUAGCUGGUCCUGCUUCAAUAGUGAAGCAAUGGAAAAACAAUCCAACCCAAAAACUGACAGUACAAAAACCUAAAUGAAAUUUUAUGCACCUGCUCUACAGGUAAAUAUCAAAG
rnacentral:misc_RNA from 1 species